rnacentral:lncRNA from 1 species
AAAAAAACUUAAGCUUCCCAAUUAUACCAACAAAACUUCUACUUUUACAAUAAUCUAUUAUUUUCUUCUCUUCAUUCUUCUUCAUCCCUUUUGCAAGUCAACAAUAGCAAUAAAAUUAUUUCUAAAAAUUAGAAUAAACUCUCAAAAACACUUCUUCAUAAAUUAAACAAUAGAAAUGGUAUUAAUUUAAAAUCGAUUUAUCUAUAAGUCUUUUACUUAUUAAAGUCUUUGUUUCUAUUAUUAGUAAAAAAAAUUCUCCUUAUCUUCUUCAAAGUUGUUAUCAUUUAAAAUGUGAGGCGAAUUACCACAAAAAUUAGAUAGAUAUGUCAAGCCAUUCAAAGGAUACUUUUUCAUAAGAUAAAAAUCAGGCUUUAAUUAAGAAGGUAAUGAAUCAGUUAACAUAAUGCAUAUACUUUUAAGAAGAGCUUAAACCAGUGUAAAUCAUUAGGAAGACAAUAUAAUCGAUUUUACCGAUUUACAACUUGAUGAUCAAAUGUUGAUUCAAACAAGAUAAACAUCAAAGAGAUUUUAAACUGAAAUUAUUUAAGUGAAAAAUAUUUCUCAACCAAACUAGCCAAAGAAAAAGCAGUGAAAGACAUCUUGAGUGAAAUCACACAUUUUAACAAAAAGACACAUUUUAAGCAUGUGUUGAGACGUCUGAAUACACAAUAAUUCAACACCAACCUUUCUUACACAAUGAAGAAAUGUCUAAAUACGCAACAAUUCAACACCAAUAUUUUUUAAAUAAUGAAGAAAUUUAGAUGCAACUCUAUAUUAUCUAUCGGGAACAAUAGAAAUAGGAAGGCAUCCACACAGUGCGGGAGAUUUCUGCUUAAGAAAGCACAAGAUUCGACAUUACAAAUUUAACAAUCAUCCUAAAGCUAGCACUUAAGCGAACACUAUAAGAAAUAUGAAAUAGUGGAAUAUUACCUUUUUCUGGGCAGCGAAAUAGGACAACAAGUUCACGACGACUUCACCAACUUGCUUUUGAUUUGAAAAAAGACAAGGAAAAAUAAAACUUGAACCAAAAUUUUCAUAACUCCAGGUUGGGGACAGAAGUCCAAAUCCUAACCAAGUAGAGAAGUUUAGCCCUUUUUCGUUCGAAAAAAAAUCUUUAAACAAUAGAGAGAAGGAUUAAUAUGGAAAUUCAAAAAUCUCAAUUCUUGAGAAAUCGGUGAUGUGGGAUAGAGAAUGUCAAGGGUAUUUUUGAGAAUGUUGAUUGAGUACUUCAAAUUGAGGAUAAGAUUUGUUAAGCAAGUUGGAAUUGUACUGUUUUUGUAUGAAUUUGAAAUUCGAACGUUGGCUGAGCUGGACGGAUUGGGUCGGGUUUUGCUGUUGGAUUGUUGUUGUUUGAAUGUUGGUUUCUGGUGCGGGUUGGUUUUGCCAAAGCUCUUACGGUUGUACGUUUUGGUGUUGUACGACAUUUUUUGUUGUUA